rnacentral:rRNA from 1 species
CCUACGGGAGGCAGCAGUGGGGAAUAUUGCACAAUGGGGGAAACCCUGAUGCAGCGACGCCGCGUGAGUGAAGAAGUAUUUCGGUAUGUAAAGCUCUAUCAGCAGGGAAGAAAAUGACGGUACCUGUUUAAGAAGCCCCGGCUAACUACGUGCAAGCAGCCGCGGUAAUACGUAGGGGGCAAGCGUUAUCCGGAUUUACUGGGUGUAAAGGGAGCGUAGACGGCAGCACAAGUCUGGAGUGAAAUGCCGGGGCUUAACCCCGGAAGUGCUUUGGAAACUGUGCAGCUAGAGUGCAGGAGAGGUAAGUGGAAUUCCUAGUGUAGCGGUGAAAUGCGUAGAUAUUAGGAGGAACACCAGUGGCGAAGGCAGCUUACUGGACUGUAACUGACGUUGAGGCUCGAAAGCGUGGGUAUCGAACAGGAUUAGAUACCCUAGUAGUC